UUGAAUAUAAAAUAAAACAAUCCUAUUGGUUGGUGAACCUAGAGGUUCACCCUAGGGGGUGGACCUAAGAAUAAGUCUUUGUAAAGAGUCAUUCUUGAGUCAUUCUUGGGUUCACCCCCUAGGGUGAACCUCUAGGUUCACCAACCAAUAGGAUUUCAUUAUUUCAAAUUUGAUAUCUUUUAAAAAAGGAAACAAAAUAUUCUCAAAUUAUAUUAUGUUUUCAAAAUAAAAAAAGUAAAAAAAGAUAAUAGUUACAGAAAAAAAAAUUAAAAAAAAAUAUAUUUUUAAUGUUCUCAACAAAACACUAAACCCUAAAUCUUAAUCCCUAAACCCUAAAUCCUAAACCCUAAACCCUUGGGUAAACCCUAAACCCUUGGGUAAACCCUAAACCCUUGGAUAAAUCCUAAACUCUAAAUAAAAAACACUAAAACUCUAAAAUCCUAAAACCCUAAACCCUAUACGCUUGAAUGUUUUAGUGUAUAGUGAUUUUGAUUUAGAGUUUAGGAUUUAUCCUAGAGUUUAGGAUUUAUCCUAGAGUUUAGGGUUUAGGAUUAAGAGUUUAGGGAUUAGAAUUUAGGGUUUAGGGUUUAAUGUUAUGCUGACGACGUAAAAUAUUUUUUUUGUAAUUAUUACUAUUUUUUUAUCUUUUAAUUUUAAAAACAUAAUAUAAUUUGACAAUAUUUUGUUUCCUUUUUUAAAAGAUAUUGAAUAUAAAAUAAAACAAUCCUAUUGGUUGGUGAACCUAGAGGUUCACCCUAGGGGGUGGACCUAAGAAUAAGUCUUUGUAAAGAGUCAUUCUUGGGUUCACCAACCAAUAAGAUUUCAUUAUUUCAAAUUUGAUAUCUUUUAAAAAAGGAAACAAAAUAUUCUCAAAUUAUAUUAUGUUUUCAAAAUAAAAAAUGUAAAAAAAGAUAAUAGUUACAGAAAAAAAAAUUAAAAAAAAAUAUAUUUUUAAUGUUCUCAACAAAACACUAAACCCUAAAUCUUAAUCCCUAAACCCUAAAUCCUAAACCCUAAACCCUUGGGUAAACCCUAAACCCUUAGGUAAACCCUAAACCCUUGGAUAAAUCCUAAACUCUAAAUAAAAAACACUAAAACUCUAAAAUCCUAAAACCCUAAA
rnacentral:lncRNA from 1 species